GGCGGCGUCCGUGAGCAGGAUCGGUACCUUCCGAUCGCCAACAUCAGCCGGAUCAUGAAGAAGGCGGUACCGGCGAACGGGAAAAUUGCCAAGGACGCCAAGGACACGAUGCAGGAGUGCGUGUCGGAGUUCAUUAGUUUCAUCACUAGCGAGGCGAGCGACAAGUGUCAACGGGAGAAGCGGAAGACGAUCAAUGGAGAUGAUCUGCUCUGGGCGAUGGCGACUCUUGGGUUCGAGGACUACAUCGAGCCGCUAAAGCUGUACUUGCA
rnacentral:misc_RNA from 1 species